CAGACGGCGACGAAGGUGAGAGGAGCGUACUGCACAGUUUUAUUGUAAUACGAUAUGGAACACGUAAACUUAAAAGAAAAAAAUCGUGCUGAGAAGACGCCCAGUGAGGACAAUUGACUCCUCCCCGUCUGAUCCGUCCUCUACAUAUCCCGCGGUUCCCAGAAGGAGGUGUCACUCAUUACGAGAACACAGCAUGGGACGGAGCUCCUUCAUUCAGUGAUUAUAACGGGCUUUGUCAGCCAAGAGAGGUUCCUGAGUCAAGGACCCUGACUUUCAUUUGGUUUGGUGUCAUUGAGCGCAGCUUUUGUUAAUUCCUUUGUCUCAAAUAAACAGUGACGACUGGGUUGGUGCAUCAACA